GUGUCCCCUAGAGUUCUCCUGAUCACUUCAUUGUAGACUCAAUAAGGAGUAGUUGUUUGCACUGAAGUGUUUGGGGGAACUCCUGGUGUCAU
rnacentral:pre_miRNA from 1 species